UGGGAGGAUUUCCUCUCAGGUGAGCAGC
rnacentral:piRNA from 1 species